AAUAGGGGGACGCAAAAUUGUCUUAUUUUUGUUGUUUAAUUCGUCGUAAAUUAAAUUCGCUCGUAAUUUUACUGUCCUAAAAUAUUAUAAGUGAUUUUGCUCUAGGCUAAACAAUAAUUAAAAAGGUUAAUUGAUGUAUUUUUUUUGUUUUCUUAUGUACUAGUGUUAAUAUUUUUAGAAAAAUAGUGCAAAAGUGGGAUAAUUAUAGUUUCAAAAUUAUUGACUUUCUAUCAAAUAAAAAAGAGGAAGAAAAAAAAUUCAUCUGAACUUUAAUUCAAUUGAAAGUUAUUUUUAACAUGAAAAUCAGUUGUAAAUUUUUUUUUAUCUGAACUUUAAUUCAAUUAAUUGUGUCAUACUCAUAUUCAGUUUUGCUUAACAAUAUUCAAUUAAGAGUGAUGUAAUUAUAAUUUUACAGAUAUACUGCUGUGUUUUCAACUACGUUCAAUUUAAUUAUAUAUCAGAAUACAAAAACUCAUAUAUAAUUUUUGAAUUUGUUGUAGUUGCAUUUAUA
rnacentral:lncRNA from 1 species